GAGUAACACGUGGGCAAUCUGCCCUGCACUCUGGGACAAGCCCUGGAAACGGGGUCUAAUACCGGAUACAACCGCUGACCGCAUGGUCCGGCGGUGGAAAGCUCCGGCGGUGCAGGAUGAGCCCGCGGCCUAUCAGCUUGUUGGUGAGGUAACGGCUCACCAAGGCGACGACGGGUAGCCGGCCUGAGAGGGCGACCGGCCACACUGGGACUGAGACACGGCCCAGACUCC
rnacentral:rRNA from 1 species